rnacentral:rRNA from 1 species
AGUGAACGCUGGCGGUAGGCCUAACACAUGCAAGUCGAACGGGAGCUCAGUAAGAGGUUGCUCUUACGGGCGUAGCGUGUCGGACGGUGGCGGUAUACUUCGGAAUAUACUCUUUCGUGGGGGCUAACGCAGGGAAACGUACGCUAAUACCGCAUACGACCUACUUGUGUAAGCAGGGGUUCUUCGGACCUUGCGCGAUUGAAUGAGCCGAUGUAGGAGUCGCUAGUUGGCGGGGUAGAGGCGCACCAAGGCGACGAUCCGUAUCUGGUAUGAAAGGAUGAACAGCCACACUGGAACUGAGACACGUCCCAGACUCCUACGGGAGGCAGCAGUGGGGAAUAUUGGACAAUGCGCGCAUGCCUGAUCCAGCCCUACCGCGUGGGUGAAGAACGCGUUAUGGUUGGUAAGCCCUUUUGUUGGGAGAGUAGAGCAGCUGGUUAAUACCCCGCUGUUCUGACGGUACCCAAAGAAUAAGCACCGGCUAACUUCGUG